rnacentral:rRNA from 1 species
GUGGGGAAUAUUGGACAAUGGGCGAAAGCCUGAUCCAGCAAUGCCGCGUGAGUGAUGAAGGCCUUAGGGUUGUAAAGCUCUUUUACCAGGGAUGAUAAUGACAGUACCUGGAGAAUAAGCUCCGGCUAACUCCGUGCCAGCAGCCGCGGUAAUACGGAGGGAGCUAGCGUUGUUCGGAAUUACUGGGCGUAAAGCGCGCGUAGGCGGUCCAUCAAGUCAGAGGUGAAAGCCCGGGGCUCAACCCCGGAACUGCCUUUGAAACUAGCGGACUAGAAUCUUGGAGAGGUCAGUGGAAUUCCGAGUGUAGAGGUGAAAUUCGUAGAUAUUCGGAAGAACACCAGUGGCGAAGGCGACUGACUGGACAAGUAUUGACGCUGAGGUGCGAAAGCGUGGGGAGCAAACAGGAUUAGAAACCCGGGUAGUCC